AUGAACGCUAGCGGCAGGCUUAAUACAUGCAAGUCGAGGGGCAGCACGAAUAGCAAUAUUUGGUGGCGACCGGCAAACGGGUGCGGAACACGUACGCAACCUUCCCAGAACAGGUGAAUAGCCCUCCGAAAGGAGGAUUAAUACACCGUAAGAUAUAGUGGUGGCAUCACGAUUAUAUUAUAGGCCGCAAGGUCGGUUUUGGAUGGGCGUGCGCCUGAUUAGGUAGUUGGUGUGGGAACGGCCCACCAAGCCUUCGAUCAGUAACUGGUGUGAGAGCACGACCAGUCACACGGGCACUGAGACACGGGCCCGACUCCUACGGGAGGCAGCAGUAAGGAAUAUUGGUCAAUGGACGCAAGUCUGAACCAGCCAUGCCGCGUGAAGGAUGACUGCCCUC
rnacentral:rRNA from 1 species